AUGAUGGACUAUAGGACAGGACUGCUGCUUUUUACUGUCUGCUGGGCAGGUGUUGAUGGUCAGACUCUGACAGAAUCUGAAGCAGUGGUUAAAAGGCCUGGAGAAUCCCACAGACUGACCUGUUCAGCCUCUGGAUUCACAUUCAGCAGCUACCAUAUGAGCUGGGUCAGACAGGCUCCUGGAAAAGGACUGGAGUGGAUCGCCUGGAUUGAGAAUGAUAAUGACAGAAAAUACUACUCUCAGUCAGUUACAGGCCGGUUCACCAUCUCCAGAGACAACAGCAGACAGCAGGUGUAUCUGCAGAUGAACAGUCUGAAGACUGAAGAUUCUGCUGUUUAUUAUUGUGCCAGAGACCCACAGUGACACAGGAGGAAGUAACGCUGUACAAAAACUUAGCGUGUCAAAAAGUACACUCUCUGUGUUUCAUUUAUAGAAUAAACUUCAGUUGGAUUUAAAAAAAUUAAAGUUUCAGUUCUUGUGCAUCUCUGGUAUUCUGUCACAUGUUGUUAAAGAAAACUGAUAAAAUCUCAUAUUUAGUGGAUCUGACUGUUAACGUGAAUCUUCUUGUUUGAAGCAGCUUGUCCUUGUAACUUUUAACUAAGGGCAUGUGUCGUCCCCACAACCACAGCCUGACGCCCAGCCUCCACCAUCCGACUGUGUCGACCCUACAACCACCGCCGU